GCUGGGCGUUGUGGCAGGUGCCUAUGGUCCCAGCUACUCAGGAGGCUGAGGCAAGAGAAUUGCCUAAGCCCAGGAGUUGGAGGUUGCUGUGAGCUAUGUGACUCCACAGCACUCUACCAAGGGUGAUAAAGUGAGACUCUGUCUCUACAAAAAAAAAAAAGAGAGAGAGAGAGAGACAGAGUCUCAUUUUGUCACCCUCAGUACAGUGCUGUGGUUUCACAGCUCACAGCAACCUCCAAUUCCUGGGCUUAGGCAAUUCUCUUGC
rnacentral:sRNA from 1 species